GAUGAACGCUGGCGGCGUGCCUAAUACAUGCAAGUCGAGCGAACCACUUCGGUGGAGAGCGGCGAACGGGUGAGUAACACGUAGGUCAUCUACCAUUAGACGGGGAUAACGUUUGGAAACGAACGCUAAUACCGGAUAGGAAGAAAUUUUAAAGGUGCUUUCGGGCAUCGCUAAUGGAUGAGCCUGCGGCGCAUUAGCUAGUUGGUAAGGUAAGAGCUUACCAAGGCGACGAUGCGUAGCCGACCUGAGAGGGUGAACGGCCACACUGGGACUGAGACACGGCCCAGACUCCUACGGGAGGGAGCAGUAGGGAAUCUUCGGCAAUGGACGAAAGUCUGACCGAGCAACGCCGCGUGAAUGAAGAAGGCCUUCGGGUUGUAAAAUUCUGUUAUAAGGGAAGAAAGACUAUAGUAGGAAAUGGCUAUAGAGUGACGGUACCUUAUGAGAAAGCCACGGCUAACUACGUGCCAGCAGCCGCGGUAA
rnacentral:rRNA from 1 species